AAACAGAUUACUGGAUUUCAAAUAGAAAUUUCUCCUCCUGAGCGUAAACCCUAAGCCGUACACUAACAUAGCACAUCGAGAAGGAAGAAAUUCUCUGUUUAAAGGACUCACUCGACUCGACAAACUGUUGGGCGGAGUUUUCCGAAUUUUGGUUUCAUCCGUUUCACAACAAGUUGCCCAAUUUUGGAUUCAAAUGCUGUAAUGGAAAAUGCUUCUGGGAAAAUGCCGGCAGACAGCAGAGGGGUGAAAAGACCGUUGGCGGAAUUGGAAGCAGGAGCAGUCUCUGAGCGUUGUUCAAUCUCAGACUUGAGGGAUUUGUGUGAAAAGCUCCAGCACUUCCUUGAGCAGACGAGAAAUAUUGUUGCGGCUGUCUGCACCAUGCUUGAAUUGAGGAUUUCAAACUUGGGGCGGCUGAAUUUUGCCCGCCGGUAUUACCUUGAGCGUGCUUCCCGACGGUCAUUAGAAUUGGCGUCGACAUUAUCUGAGAUUCGAACAGAGGUAUCUGAGCUGAAAGACUCAUUAUCCUUUUCAGAUUUUGAUGUGGGGGCCAAGGAAUAUUUGUCAAUUCUGAAGUCGGUCCUGCGCGUUCUGUCGGCUUUGUUGAAGAUCACGGGGUGGCAGUUUUGAUGUUCUGAGGAGACAUUGUUUUUGGAGGCGGAACAAUGCUUGAAACAGGAAUUCCAGUUCCAGUAUGAGUAUACUCUGGAUCCGUUGACCUGAUGGAUGCUAACACGGAUGAAGAUUUCUUGAAAAUUCUCCCAGGUCAGGAGAGAUUCUAGCCAGUCCAUCUCGUGGGGUAGUUAAAUUCUUUCAAAUGAUAAGGGACACACCUUAUUGUAAUAAUCCACUUCAAUAUAGCUCUCCUUUACUCCCUUUUCUCUCUGUUAUUCUUUACCCUCUGCUAAAUUAGCACAAUAGUUCAUCUUUCUUUUAGGACUAACUGCGUGAAUGUUGACUGGGCUAAAAGCAUGUAAAACAUUUUAAACAUCGUUGUAUGUCCAGUUGAAGUUA